GAGGCCCCAAAACAGAAAGGAAAGCUCACCACCAGAAUGUGCCUUUUCCUUAUCAAAAAGAAUUGCUGCCCCUUACAGGACAGGAGGACUCCAAUUGUGACCAAGUUGGAGCAGCCUUGAGCCACAACUCAGACUUAUUUUCAUUCUCUGCUCAUUGGCCAUUAGGAACCCGAUCCUUAUGGUAUGUUCACACUGUCUCCAGGCUGGGCACAGUGGCUCACACUUGUAAUCCCAGCACUCUGGAGGCCAAGGUGGGUGGACGGCUUGAACUCAGAGUUUGAGACCACCGUGAGCAACAUGACAAAACGCUAUCUCUACAAACAAUAUAAAAAUUAGCCUGGUGUGGUGGUGCACGCCUGUGGUCCCAGCUACUAGGGGCUGAUGUGGGAGGAUUGCUUGAGCCUGGAAAGUGGAGGUUGCAGUGAGCUGAGAUUGCACCACUGCACUCCAGCCUGGGUGACACAAGGAGACGCUGUCUCAACCUGCAGUGACCUGCUGCUACCAGAACUGACUCGCUUCAAAGUGACGGAUGAAACCCAUAUGGAGAUAUUCCUGGGGUGGGUAGGCCAGUUGGAAGACAGAGUGUUUACACCUGAGAGAGGACUUGAGCAUAUCUGAACCUUUUGCACCAUUCAGUAAAGAGAAAAGGGGAGCUCAGGAAAAGCAGUUGAAAUACCAUUAGUUAACAGAUUGCCCAAUGAAGUCGAUGACAACUGUGAUAACAAGUUACUCACUAUCACAGCGUCUCCAAGAGAUGAACAGUGGAUGAUGCUUCCAAAGCACAGAUGUCCCUCUCCUCCUCAACCUUCUCUCCCCAGAAAGAUGUCAACACUGUGGAGAUUGUGCUAUGAAGAUACCUGGUGUGGCAUUGCAAUAGAUGAAAUAUUAAGGGCAAUUCAACAAUUUUCUGAACAAAUACAUGGAUUUAACUUGAAGUUGAAUUUAAUUUGACUUCAAGAAAAAUUAUAUUUCUGGUCCUCCUAUGAUCAUGCACUAAGAAUUAUUUAACUGCAGAUACAAUUGUUACCUUUAGAGCUAGAAGGCCUCAUUUUAGAAUUAAAAUGAAUGGCAACCCAGACAGAUAAA
rnacentral:lncRNA from 1 species